rnacentral:lncRNA from 10 species
CUUUGGAGUCUAGCUAACACAGCAUCUUGGAUGCACUCCUAAGAGAAGACUACCUGAAAGGCGUGUACACUGGUCUAGCAGUUGAGAUCAGCUAGUGUUCCAUCUAUCUUCUGUCAUGUGGAGGAGUUCUUGCUCUGUCACCUAGUCUGGAAUGCAAGGGCACAAUCAUAGCUCACUGCAGCCUCAUACUCCUGGACUCAAAUGAUCCUCCUGCCUCACCCUCCUGAGUAGUUGGGACUACAGGCUAUACUGGUUAUUGUGGAUCCAAAAAUCCUAGGACACAGACUUUGCCCUCAAAUUAUUUACUGCAUAGUGGGUGGCCUGAAAAGCAAACAUAAGCACUAAAUAUGGAAAAAUGCAAAAGGCAAUGGGACCAUAAAAGGAACAGAUCUCUUCUAAGAUGUCUUGAUCGACUGACCCCAAAGCCAGAGGGUACCAGGUCAAAAAGCAAGAAAACAAACAAUACUGACAUUAGAGAGAAGCAAAGUUUCUAUAGAAAACCUAUUACACUGUGGUAUAAAUCAAGAUGAACCUGCAGACAUCUAUUUUAGUUUGGAAGUCUGGAAAAGUUCAAGAUUGGCCAUCUGCAGCUGGUGAGAGCCUCAGGCUGCUUCCCCUCAUGGUGGAAGGUGAAGGGGAGCUGGUGUGUGCAGAGAUUACAUGCUUUUCUAGGUCAUCAUUCUAGGCUUUGUUGAAGCAUGCAUUUUUGGCAUGAGGGUGGCAGCCUUUGCACUAUGUGCAUGGCUGAGGAGUUAGGAUCUGGAGGGUGAUGAAAGCAAAGGUGCUGCUGGUUACUCUUGGUUCAUCUAGCAAUAGAUGAUCUGAAUGUUAGAGUUCGCCAAAUAUUGUUCCUGGGCAGUCUUUGCUCUACCAAAUCAACUUUCUCCAUGGGGGAGCUAGAAGUCACCCCACAUUCUCCGCCAUGGCCAGCUCUACAUUCUAAGAGAACCAAUGGCUCUACCCAACAUAUUCUUCUCACCACAGAUGACAAAGACACAAGGAGCCAAGACAGAUCAUUCAAGCAUAUUCAUUGCCUCUAUCUUCAUCCCAUUAAAUAACAUCCCGCCAACCAAAGCAAGUUAUCUGCAUAAGAAUAAAUAUUCCACCUACUCUACUGCAAGGCCCUGCAAGAGUCAUGAGACAAAAGGAUCCUCUGUGGACAGCACCCAAGAUGGAAACAACUGACAGUCUAUGGCCAGGGCUAUACUCUGGUGAAACUGAAAGGUGUCUGCAUGGAAGUGUCUGACUACCACCAUCCACUCAGGCAAAUGCAUUUGUUUCCCUCUAUUCAUUAUUAGAAGAGAGGAGAUUACAUACCAGACAUAUACCAAUAGGUUUUCUCUUCAUAAUACCUACGUCAUCUAGUAGCAUAACAUAAGGCAGAAUCCUUCAAAGAUUUUCACCUGAACUUUUCUUGAGCAUCUCUAGACAGUCACAUGCAGAAUAACAACUGGGUUUUAGGUGUACCAAGUUCUUAGUAUGGAAAAAAGAUAUCCUACAAAAUUUUGUCUCUACACAUGUUGAAGUUCAUCUCUCACCCCUCUCUACUCUCUUACUUAUGCUUCAAGCAAAUGGAAUUACUUUUUUUCAUACUGAGACAUUAAAACAGGAAAUCCUUCUUCCUAGGACUCCUGUUCACCACCACUACCUCUACACAUAGCAGAUCCACGUAAGACACUUGCAUCCAAGACAAGUCAGAAUGAUUACAUAUGAAAGUUUUAAUUGCACUGUAUGGGGAUAUUGCUGUGUUGUGAAUUAAAUAAGAAUUCAUAUUUUC